GUUCCCGGGCCUUGUACACACCGCCCGUCCAAGCCAUGAAAGCCGGGGGGUACCUGAAGUACGUAACCGCAAGGAUCGUCCUAGGGUAAAACUGGUAAUUGGGGGCUAAGUCGUAACAAGGUAAC
rnacentral:rRNA from 1 species